rnacentral:rRNA from 1 species
UACGGGGGGAGCAAGCGUUGUUCGGAUUUACUGGGCGUAAAGGGCGCGUAGGCGGCCACCGCAAGUCGACUGUGAAAUCUCCGGGCUUAACCCGGAAAGGUCAGCCGAUACUGCGGGGCUAGAGUGCAGAAGGGGCAACUGGAAUUCUCGGUGUAGCGGUGAAAUGCGUAGAGUAUCGAGAGGAACACCUGCGGCGAAGGCGGGUUGCUGGGCUGACACUGACGCUGAGGCGCGAAAGCUAGGGGAGCGAAAGGG